rnacentral:rRNA from 1 species
UACAGAGGGGGCAAGCGUUGUUCGGAUUCAUUGGGCGUAAAGGGCGCGUAGGCGGUGCGGUAAGUCACCUGUGAAAUCUCCGGGCUUAACUCGGAGCCUGCAGGCGAAACUACCGUGCUGGAGUGUGGGAGAGGUGCGUGGAAUUCCCGGUGUAGCGGUGAAAUGCGUAGAUAUCAGGAGGAACACCUGCGGUGUAGACAGCUUUCUGGACCAUCACUGACGCUGAGA